GGAUCAUCUUCCACAAGGUUAUCAGAUUCAUCAAAAUCCGCUAUAUCCGGUAUAUCGUCCUCCUCCGCACCACCAAAAUACGUAGGAAUAGACCGUAUCACACUGCCCCUGCUAAACUCCUGGGUAUCCAUCGACGGCAAGUUCUCCUCCUCGUCAUGCUUGUGCUUGGUUUCUUUCGGAUUCCCAUGUGUCGCCAGCCAUCCGUC
rnacentral:misc_RNA from 1 species